UUGAAUGCUGAUUGGUCAUUCGCGCGAACGACACUCUGACGUAAUCAUAUAUAGCAGUAGAAGUUUUUAACAAGAAGUGCGGAGGGAUUUUCUUUGAGAAUGAUGGGUUUCAAUGGAAAAAAAGUAUUUUUCGAUGGUAAUGAAAUAAAUCAACAAAACAAAAUUCGUUUUCGAUGAAAAAAAGUAUUUUUCGAUGGUAUAAUUAAUGACAUAACCAAAAAAAUUGCUUUUCGAUAAAAAAAACAGUAUUUUUCGAUGAUUCAGAGUCUUGAUAUUUUAAUUAUAUAUGUGCCACACGCCGUGCAUUACGAUGGUAAUAUAAUAAGGAAUAUGAAUGUAUAUAAAACGUGUGUCGCGGAAACGCUUUCUCGAUUUCUAUUAAACAAGAAUUAAGAGUAUCGAUUCGAUGGAUUCCCCUGGACCAACCAUGCAGAACGAAGAAAAUAUAGUUUUAUACUAUAUAAAUACAAAAAAGAUAUGGGAGAUAUAAAAAACACACAUAUAUAUGUGAAGGCAUCAGUAAUUUCGAUGGGGUUGCGUGAACGCAAAAGCGUCGACCUGGGAAUUCUGGAGUAUCCAUAGAGGUCAUCGUCCGAACGAUCUUUGGAGUUCUACCACCCCUGCGCAGGGAUGGACUACCUUUGAGAAGAACGCGGACCAUCGACCCUAUAAUUUCGUCUCUCACGAAUCUCUCAUCUGUUGGAUCAGACUUUAAGAGAGGUGGAAUAAAAAAAAGAAUCCACACCCGCGUGUGCGGGUUCAUGACUCCCAAUCGAAUUUGUUACUUUUUAAGUAAUCGAAAGGGGUCAAAUGUUUUUUAUGAAAACUAAAUCGUAAAAAUUUUUUAAAUUCAGAAAUCAUUCUGAAUAAUUCAUAUUUUUAAAUAUGAAAUGAACAUCCCUAUAUAUAGAAGAUAAUUAAAAA